UAGGGAAUCUUCCACAAUGGACGCAAGUCUGAUGGAGCAACGCCGCGUGAGUGAAGAGGGUUUUCGGAUCGUAAAGCUCUGUUGUUGGUGAAGAAGGAUAGAGGUAGUAACUGGCCUUUAUUUGACGGUAAUCAACCAGAAAGUCACGGCUAACUACGUGCCAGCAGCCGCGGUAAUACGUAGGUGGCAAGCGUUGUCCGGAUUUAUUGGGCGUAAAGCGAGCGCAGGCGGAAGAAUAAGUCUGAUGUGAAAGCCCUCGGCUUAACCGAGGAACUGCAUCGGAAACUGUUUUUCUUGAGUGCAGAAGAGGAGAGUGGAAUUCCAUGUGUAGCGGUGGAAUGCGUAGAUAUAUGGAAGAACACCAGUGGCGAAGGCGACUCUCUGGUCUGCAACUGACGCUGAGGCUCGAAAGCAUGGGUAGCGAACAGG
rnacentral:rRNA from 1 species